GAUGAACGCGGCGGCGUGCCUAAUACAUGCAAGUCGAGCGAGAAGCUUGGAAAUGACGCUUCGGUUGAUUUUCCAAGCGGACAGCGGCGGACGGGUGAGUAACGCGUAGGCAACCUGCCCCUGACAGAGGGAUAGCCAUUGGAAACGAUGAUUAAAACCUCAUGACACCGUAGUAGCACAUGCUACAUCGGUCAAAGAUUUAUCGGUCAGGGAUGGGCCUGCGUCUGAUUAACUGGUUGGUGAGGUAACGGCUCACCAAGGUGACGAUCAGUAGCCGACCUGAGAGGGUGAUCGGCCACAUUGGAACUGAGACACGGUCCAAACUUCUACGGAAGGCAGCAGUAGGGAAUCUUGCACAAUGGGCGAAAGCCUGAUGCAGCAACGCCGCGUGAAGGAUGAAGGCCUUCGGGUUGUAAACUUCUGUUCUAAGGGAAGAAAGAAAUGACGUACCUAGGAGCAGCCC
rnacentral:rRNA from 1 species